rnacentral:rRNA from 1 species
UACGUAGGGUGCAAGCGUUAAUCGGAAUUACUGGGCGUAAAGUGUGCGCAGGUGGCCUCGCAAGUCGAGUGUGAAAUCCCCGGGCUUAACUUGGGAAUUGCGCUCGAAACUACGGGGCUCGAGUGUGGCAGAGGGAGGUGGAAUUCCACGUGUAGCGGUGAAAUGCGUAGAUAUCGGGAGGAACACCAGUGGCGAAGGCGGCUACCUGGCCCACUCUUGACGCUGAGGCGCGAAAGCUAGGGGAGCAAACGGG